AGAGAGCGAGUGAGUAAACGAGGACGUACGUACUGAAGCUGAGGGAUAAAAGCAGCGAGAAAAAAGAGAUGGCGUCACAGGAAAUCAGAAAAGUCUCUGAAGCAUAUCCAAUGAAAGGUGGAGAUGGCCCCGAUAGCUAUGCCAAGAACUCUACUUAUCAGAGAGAAGCUAUGGAGUCUGUCAAAGAACUUGUAACCAAAGGAAUUGCAGAAAAGCUUGACAUAGACCUUUUGUUACCUUCCAACUCCUUUCACAUUGCGGAUCUUGGUUGCUCUGUUGGUCCUAAUACAUUUUCUUCAGUUGAAAACAUACUUGAAGCUGUGGAGCUCAAGUUUCAAGGCCAAGGACUCAUGAAUCC